rnacentral:rRNA from 1 species
AUUGAACGCUGGCGGCAGGCCUAACACACGCAAGUCGAACGAGCGGUGUAAGGGCGAGCAAUGACUGGGAAAUUGCCUGCUGGAGGGGGUUAAUCACUGGAAAUGGAAGCUAAUACCGCACAUCAUCAGAUGUGUCCAGAUGGGUUUAGCUUGUUGGCGGGGUAACAACUCCCCAAGGCCAUGAUCCCUAGCUGGUCUGAGAGGAUGACCAGCCACACUGGAACAGAGACACGGUCCAGACUCCUACGGGAGGCAGCAGUGGGGAAUAUUGCACAAUGGGCGCAAGCCUGAUGCAGCCAGGCCGCGUGUAUGAAGAAGGCCUUCGGGUUGUAAAGUACUUACAGCGGGGAGGCGUUACCCACAGAAGAAGCACCGGCUAACACCGUGCCAGCAGCCGCGGUAAUUC